UACGUAGGGGGCUAGCGUUGUCCGGAUUUAUUGGGCGUAAAGAGCGCGUAGGCGGCCGAGUAAGUCCGACGUGAAAUCUGGAGGCUCAACCUCCAGCGGUCGUUGGAAACUACUCGGCUAGAGUCCGGAAGAGGAGAGUGGAAUUCCUGGUGUAGCAGUGAAAUGCGCAGAUAUCAGGAAGAACACCGAUGGCGAAAGCAGCUCUCUGGGACGGUACUGACGCUGAGGCGCGAAAGCGUGGGGAGCGAACAGG
rnacentral:rRNA from 1 species